rnacentral:rRNA from 1 species
GAUGAACGCUGGCGGCGUGCCUAAUACAUGCAAGUCGAACGACCGGACGAGAAGCUUGUUGCUCUGAGGUUAGCGGCGGACGGGUGGUUAAUACGUGGAUAACCUACUUAUACUACCUGGAUAACUUCGGGAAGCCGGUGCUACUACCGGAUAAUAUUUUGAACCGGUUGGUUCAAAGGUAUAAGACGGUUUUUGUUUCACUUGUAGAUGGAUUCGCGGUGCAUUAGCUAGUUGGUAAGGUAAUGUCUUACCAAGGCAAAGAUGCAUAGCCGACCUGAGAGGGAGGUUGACCACCACGGAACUGCGGCACGGUCCAGACUCCUACUGGAGGCAGCAAGAGGGAAUCAUCCGGCAUAGGGGGAAGCCUUACGGCGCAGCGACGCCGGAGGAGUGAAGGUCUUCGGAGCGUUAAACUCCGUUAUUAGGGAAGAACAAAGCUGUAAGUAACUGUGCACAGCUUGACGGUACCUAAACAGAAAGCCACGGCUAACUACGUG